UAGUCAUAUGCUUGUCUCAAAGAUUAAGCCAUGCAUGUCUAAGCACAAGCCGAUUAAUGGUGAAGCCGCGAAUGGCUCAUUACAACAGCCAUAGUUUCUUAGAUCUUACUUUUCUACUUGGAUAACUGUGGUAAUUCUAGAGCUAAUACACGCAAACAAGCCCAGACCUCACGGAAUGAGCGCAUUUAUUAGAACAAAAACCAAUCGGGCUUCGGCCCGUCAUUUGGUGAAUCUGAAUAACUUUGCUGAUCGCACGGUCAUCGUACCGGCGACGUAUCUUUCAAAUGUCUGCCUUAUCAACUUUCGAUGGUAGUUUAUGCGCCUACCAUGGUUGUAACGGGUAACGGAGAAUAAGGGUUCGACUCCGGAGAGGGAGCCUGAGAAACGGCUACCACAUCCAAGGAAGGCAGCAGGCACGCAAAUUACCCACUCCCGGCACGGGGAGGUAGUGACGAAAAAUAACGAGACGGCUCGCUAUGCGGUCCGUCAUCGGAAUGGGUACAAUUUAAAUCCUUUAACGAGGAUCUAUU
rnacentral:rRNA from 1 species